UGAGGAAUCUUGCGCAAUGGCCGAAAGGCUGACGCAGCCACGCCGCGUGCUGGAAGAAGGUUCUAUGAAUUGUAAACAGCUUUUGUCAGGGAAGAAGGCCUGGGUUUCGACCUGGGAGAGACGGUACCUGAAGAAUAAGCACCGGCUAACUCCGUGCCAGCAGCCGCGGUAAUACGGAGGGUGCAAGCGUUGUCCGGACUUAUUGGGUGUAAAGGGUGCGCAGGCGGGUUAUUAAGUCUGGGGUGAAAGGCCGCCGCUCAACGGUGGGAAUGCCUUGGAUACUGGUGAUCUGGAGUGUAGGAGAGGUCGACGGAAUUGGCGGUGUAGCGGUGAAAUGCAUAGAUAUCGCCAAGAACACCGGUGGUGAAGACGGUCGGCUGGCCUAUAACUGACGCUCAGGCACGAAAGUGUGGGGAUCAAACAGG
rnacentral:rRNA from 1 species